GAGAAGGUUGAAGAUGAAUGAUGGAGAGCGUCGAGAGAUUGAGAGAAGAGAUUGAGGGCGAGUACAGUGAGGGAGUAACGAAGGAGGGUCUGUUGCUCCCAUUUCUUUUCUCCUUUUGUUUUUUUUUUAAAAAACAAACAGACAUUUAAGCCACAUAAAAAACCAUUAAAAAAAUUUACUUUAGUCUUCCUUUGCAAUUUUGUUAAUUAGUUUUUGUUCCCAAUCCAUCAAUCAUUUGGAAACCCA
rnacentral:lncRNA from 1 species